rnacentral:tRNA from 1 species
AGGCUUAUCGUCUAAUGGACAAGACAAGGAUCUUCUAAAUCCUUAAUGCAAGUUCGAUUCUUGUUAAGCCUA